GAUGAACGCUGGCGGCGUGCCUAAUACAUGCAAGUCGAGCGAACAGACGAGGAGCUUGCUCCUCUGACGUUAGCGGCGGACGGGUGAGUAACACGUGGAUAACCUACCUAUAAGACUGGGAUAACUUCGGGAAACCGGAGCUAAUACCGGAUAAUAUAUUGAACCGCAUGGUUCAAUAGUGAAUGACGGUUUUGCUGUCACUUAUAGAUGGAUCCGCGCCGCAUUAGCUAGUUGGUAAGGUAACGGCUUACCAAGGCAACGAUGCGUAGCCGACCUGAGAGGGUGAUCGGCCACACUGGAACUGAGACACGGUCCAGACUCCUACGGGAGGCAGCAGUGGGGAAUCUUCCGCAAUGGGCGAAAGCUUGACGGAGCAACGCCGCGUGAGUGAUGAAGGUCUUCGGAUCGUAAAACUCUGUUAUUAGGGAAGAACAAAUGUGUAAGUAACUAUGCACGUCUUGACGGUACCUAAUCAGAAAGCCACGGCUAACUACGUG
rnacentral:rRNA from 1 species